rnacentral:rRNA from 1 species
UCAGUAACACGUAGUCAACCUGCCCUGGAGACAUGGACAACCCCGGGAAACUGGGAUUAAUCCGUGAUAGGUCAUCUCAUCUGGAAGGAGAGAUGGCCUUAAAGGGAUGCGCGGGCUUCUUCUGCGUAUUUGCUCCAGGAUGGGACUGCGUCCGAUCAGGCUGUUGGCGGGGUAAUGGCCCACCAAACCUGUAACCGGUACGGGCCUUGAGAGAGGUGGCCCGGAGAUGGACACUGAGAGGUAAGGGUCCAGGUCCUACGGGGCGCAGCAGGCAACUGAAACCUUCGCAAUGCGCGAAUAGCGUGAACGAGGUUUAAUCCGAGUGACCCUCCCGCUGAGGGGUCUCUUUGUCAGCUGUACAUAGGCAGGCGCAAUAAGGGGAGGGCAAGCCUGGUAUC